AACACCAGAUCUCUAUCCUCAAGGCUAUUAAAUCGAAAAAUACAGUAACCUUCAGCAUGCAUUAAUACCUGAGGUUUAGCAACAAAGUUCCAUACAUGCAUGAAAAAGCCUUCCAUAUUCUUCUCACUGGAAUUAUCACACUAUUACAAAUCCAAUCAGUGCAUUCUGCCAGUAUUCUACCUGAGGUUUUAGAUCAUCCUCAUUAAUCUUCACAAUUUUGUCCCAUUUCGAUCAGAAGGAGGCACAAAUGAGAGUACCUUCCCUAUUUGUACAUCUCUGUUACCUCGGACAACUUCAGCAGCAGUUGGUACUGAUUUCGCUGGUUCAAUCUCCUCUGAAAUUUCAAUCUCCUCGCAGUCGAUUUUAUUGCCUCUUAAUUACCCUUCGCAGGAGCAUUGUUAGCUUCUUCAACCUCUGCAUGUGCAUUUACUGGCGGUUGGAACUUCUGCGGAAGGAAGCUCCCAAAUGUCAGUGGUUCUAGUGUUGUAGUGACACCAUGAGCAGGGGUGACGAGUGUAGGUUGCGUUAUUGUGGUAGUCGGGCCUGCAUUCCGUCGUCGUUUGGCCAUUUCCGGCGACAAUUUCGUCUUGCUAUUGUGCGCCGGAUAGGUCUACUAUUGUAUUGCUUAACAUGCGCCGAGCCUUAAGGAAAAGUAUUGCUCUCUCUACUUUCUUGGUGCUCUAAUUUUUUUUUCCUUUUUAAUAGAUUUUAGCUAAAAAAGUAAAAAU
rnacentral:lncRNA from 1 species